UCGUGCAGUAAUUUGUCAGGUCAAUUCCAUUAACGAACGAGACCUCAUCCUCUAGUUAGUCUUGGGGCUUCGGCCUAAAAGUACUCCUUAGAGGGACUCUGUGUGCAAGCACAAGGAAGCCUGAGGCAAUAACA
rnacentral:rRNA from 1 species